AAGGACAGAUCCAAAAGUAAAAAAAUUGAACAUAUAUCAGUAGGGUUUCCAAAAAGGUAUAACUUCAGCUCCUUGUUUACUGUUGCUCCACCUACUCUUCCAUGGCUACCCUUGAAAAUCAUCAGUUCGUGCUUCUUCUUUUAUGGGUGAUAAACACCGUGACGUAGAUAGAGAUUAGUAUCUUCUCUUCAAUUUUACAAGACUGUGUUCUCUAGUGUAAGGGUCCUUUCUCUUCUUUUUAGUUCUAAACAAAGUGGUUUGGUCAGUUGAGAUUUGGUACUUAGUCCAGCUAUGGAAGGGAGGGAGAUUGUAUCGAGCUCAAACCUACGUGUCGUUGGACAAGACGAAAAACCUUAGCCACAUAAAUUGAAGAUCUGACUUGAAGACCUCCCCAUUUACUGAGAGUCCUUUUUGUUUGGCUGGUGUAUGUAGGAUAACUUUAUAUUAUAGCUGAAUAGGUUGUAAAUAUAAACCCUUUCCCUUUAGCCUUUCUAGUCCAUUUGGCUUGUUUCUACUGCUAAUCUCAGACAACAUCUUUGCUAUUUAUCACUGUUCAAUAUCUUUCUUCCUACACUUCGUAAUUAAUUGAAGGAAGUAUAUGUGAAUUGUUCAUGUUUCAAA